rnacentral:piRNA from 1 species
UGGCUUGAGGAACACCCUAGAUAAGUA